CACCAGCCCCUCGAGUGGUGGGGAUGAUUAUUUGGCCUAAAGCGUCCGUAGCCGGCCGGGUAAGUUUCCCGUUAAAUCCAGCGUCUCAAGCGUUGGGCUGCGGGAAAUACUGCCUGGCUAGAGAGUGGGAGAGGUCAGCGGUAUUCUGGGGGUAGGGGCGAAAUCCUUUGAUUCCCGGAGGACCACCAGUGGCGAAGGCUGCUGACUAGAACACGUCUGACGGUCAGGGACGAAAGCUGGGGUAGCGAACCGGAUUAGAUGCCCGGGUAGUCCCAGCCGUAAACGAUGCAUGCUAGGUGUUGGGUUGGCCACGAGCCACCCCAGUGCCGCAGGGAAGCCGUUAAGCAUGCCGCCUGGGAAGUACGAUCGCAAGAUUGAAACUUAAAGGAAUUGGCGGGGGAGCACCACCAGGCGUGAAGCCUGCGGUUU
rnacentral:rRNA from 1 species